UUCAUACCCCAUUUAUAGAGGUAUCAAUCCUCUCCUUUUUAAUGACCAACAACUCUACAAAACUUCUCUUCCUAUCAACAUUAAUGAUAGGAACGAUCCUGUCCAUUUCAUCAAAUUCCUGAUUUGGGGUUUGAAUAGGACUUGAGAUCAACUUACUUUCAUUUAUUCCGCUCCUAACAAGAAAUAAAAAUAUAAUAAUAAAUGAAUCAUCAAUUAAAUAUUUUAUUGUCCAAGCAAUAGCAUCGACAAUAUUAUUAUUUUCAAUUUUGCUGAUUCAAAUAAAAUAUCCCAUGGGAUGGGAAACAGAAUUUAUCCCAUCAAUAAUAAUUAGAUCUAGACUAUUAUUAAAGAUUGGAGCUGCACCUUUCCAUUUCUGAUUUCCAGAAGUUAUAGGAGCAUCAAGAUGAAAUAAUUGUUUAACAUUAAUAACAUGACAAAAAAUCGCCCCAAUAAUGGUCUUAUCUUAUUGUAUUCAAUUAAGAACUUUUAUUUGAACAAUUAUCAUCUUAAGAAUUAUUAUUGGGGCAAUAGGAGGUUUAAAUCAAACAUCCUUACGACAACUUUUAGCAUAUUCAUCAAUCAGACAUCUAGGUUGAAUAAUUAGAUCAUUAACAGUCAGAGAAAACAUCUGAGAACUAUACUUCAUUAUUUACUCACUAUUAAGAUUAAUUAUAGUUUUAUUAUUUAAGCAAAUAAAUUUAUUUUUCAUAAAUCAAAUUUAUUCAGCCAGAAAUAUAAAAACCGAAAUUAAAUUCAUAAUAUUCUUAUCUUUAUUAUCUUUAGGUGGACUACCACCAUUCCUUGGAUUCUUACCAAAAUGAAUUGUAAUACAAUCAUUAAUAGAAAACAAUAUAACAACUAUUAUAACUAUUAUAGUUGUAUUAACUACAAUUACACUCUACUACUAUAUACGUAUUAGAUUCUCAGCUCUAAUUAUAUCAUACACAGAAAAUUCGUGAUCUAUAAAGAUAAAGUCCCAAAAAUCAAGAAUCAUUCUUCCUAUAACAGUAAUAAUUUCAACAAUAGGAUUGAUUUCAACAUCAACCUUAAUUUCAUUAUACUAA